CUAAAUUUGUGAAAAUUUGCCUAAUCUAUGUCUAUUACUUUAGUCUAAAGAAGGUGUUUCAAUUGCAUUGUACAAAUGAAUAGUAUUUGGAUCAAAAUUUCACUUUAUUUACAAGGCUGCCACUAACUUUCUCUGCCGCUGAUGUUCAUGCCACGUGUUGAUGAUCGUGGAAAGGCAGACAGAGCCACAAGGGGUGUACGAUUCGAGGGAGAGGGAGAAGGAAACAGCGCGAAAGGAAGAGUGGGGGAGGGAGGAAUAAGGAUCGGCGAGACCCCAGAGCCACCAACGCCUCCAUUUUCCGGCGAAACAUCACCACAGAACCACCACCACUCACUCCAUUCUACUCAGGACACACAGGCGAAGGCCUUUCACUGUGCAAUGGCUCCUGCCACUGUUCAUCAGCUUCUCUUACGAGACUCACCGCUCCUGACCUUGAGAGAGAAGGUGGCAGCAGCAGCAGUGGGAAAGAAGAAGGUCUUUUACUGCCUCUGUGAUUGUCCCUGCCCUUCGAAUCACUAGGGUUUGGCUUUGGCUCCGUUAGCUGUUGAGGUAAUUAUUAAUCCAUACUUCGAUUGUACUUUUUUUUUUCCGUAUUCAGUAAGUUUGAUCAAAUGGGUUUCUUUGGACUUGCAUAAGUUGUGUAUAAUAUUACUUCAAUCAUUUAUUGGGUUCCUUUUGUAUUAUUGAGUCUUGGGUUUUGCUGGAAAUUGUAUAAAUUUUGGCCAAAUUGCAUAAAUUAUUGAGCUUUUUUCUGGUAUUUUUAUGGCUACUGUGCUAAUUAGUUCAUACCCAAAAAGGAGCAGAUAAUUAACUGUUCUAAUCACUAAUUCCCCACUCUGAGAACUUGAUACCUUGGACUGAUAUGCAUUUAUGAGAUUUGUUAAACUUUUAGUGUAAUUAUAAAGUAUGGGUCUUUGAUUCCAUAUAAAUUGCUGUUUAUAUUUGUGAAUUCAAGAGGGGAGCAUUUACAUGUGGAGGCAACAAGGAGGGGUGGCUUUGAGAUGGUUGGGCUAUCUAUUUUAUCUGUAGUUCUUCAUUUCACUAAAUUAAAUAUGAAUUAUUAAUUUUUCAAUUUUUAAAAUGAAAGAUAAAAGAAAAUCAUAUGUACUUAAUUAUAUAUAUAUAUAUAUAUGUGUGUGUGUGUGUGUGCGCGCGCGCGUGCGUGCGCGUGCGUGCGUGUGUAGAUAGUUGCAGAGAAGAGGAAACACUACUCAACCCUUCUUUGCCAUUACGAGCAGGUUCCUUCUCUCUCUCUGUAUUUCUUUGGUACUUACGUACAUUAGUUCUAAUGAAUGUCUUUUCAUUAGGCUGAUGCUGAUGGCAACGGAACCAUAGACUAUGAUGAGUUCAUCGCAGCAACAAUGCACUUGAACUGGAUGGAUAGAGAACAUCUCUACACUACCUUCCAACACUUCGAUAAAGACAGCAGCGGGGGUUUCGCUACCAGAGGUUACACGGCUAUGCAGAGGGUUACAUGGUGGAACUUGGAUGUUAUAGCUCACAGCAAGCAGGGUUGUUAGGUCAAUCUUUGAUUUUGUGUUUCUGGAAGCUGUUGUCAUCUCCAAAAUCCUUAUUCUGGUAUGUAGAUAGCUGCUGAGUGCUGCAGCUCGCUUAGUUUGGCCAUAUGCCUUCAUUGUAGCAUGCUCUCUGUGACAAGUAAGCAUUAUAAUUCCACUUAGUGGAUUGAUAUUAAGUUGGCUCAUGGAAUAAUAUAAGGUCAUGUCAUGUUUGAACAUUUCUACAUUCUUUUUAGCUAUGAUUACUGUUUAUACCA